UUCAACUAAGACCAUUCAGCAUGUUCACUGUUAUAUUCCUGUGUCUGUGGCUUUCACUGAGUGACUCCAUGGCAGAUUCAAUCGAGCCACUUUUCACUCAGAAAGUUGUUGAUGAAGGUGAUGAUGUUACUCUGUCCUGCAGCUACAAAUUCAGUGUUUCAGGAAGCAACAACCUGCAGUGGUACAGGCAAUAUCCAAAAUCUAAACCCAAGUUCCUUCUUUAUAUUUAUCCAACUGGACUUCGAAGUCCUGACCUCCCCCCACGAAUGACUGCUCAAGUUCAGGAAAAUAACCGAGUGGAUCUGCUCAUCUCCUCUGCUGCUGUAUCAGACUCUGCACUAUACUACUGUGCUCUGCAGCCCACAGUGACAGGAAAUCCAACUGCACUGUACAAAAACUUUCACACAGUUUUAUUCCUUUGA